rnacentral:rRNA from 1 species
GUUGCGGUUAAAAAGCUCGUAGUUGGAUCUCGGCGGGCAGGGGGUGGUUCGCUCUUCAGCGCUACUGCCCCGCUUUGCCCGUGUGAUUGGCGGAGGUUUCGGGGUGCUCUUCGUUGAGUGACUCGGAGCGCCGUCAGGUUUACUUUGAAAAAAUUAGAGUGCUCAAAGCAGGCUUUUCACGCUUGAAUAUUCGUGCAUGGAAUAAUGGAAUAGGAACUCGUUUCUAUUUUGUUGGUUUUCGGAAAUCGAGUUAAUGAUUAACAGGGACAAUUGGGGGCAUUAGUAUUCAGACGACAGAGGUGAAAUUCUUGGACCGUCUGAAGACUGACUACUGCGAAAGCAUUUGCCAAGAGUGUUUUCAUUAAUCAAGAACGAAAGUUAGAGGUUCGAAAGGCGAUCAGAUACCGCCCUAGUUCUGACCAUAAACGAUGCCCAGCUA